UGUAGGUAUCCCUUAUCCCAAUUUUAUUACAAAGGUACAAAUAUCACAACUCACAACCAAGAGUUGUAAUAAUAAAACACGCUAUAAUCUGAAAUGAUCAUAUAGCUCUAACUUUCAUCUGUGCACCGUGCAUUGGAUGCAGAGUUACCAUAGUAUGCGGCGCAUGAGUAUAUGAUGGCGCAAGCUCAAACUCCAAGCGUUGAAGAAUCAGGCACAAUGCCAUCUUGGACUCAAGCAGCGCGAAGUUUUGGCCGAUGCAGAUUCGUGGCCCCCAACCGAAUGGGAGGAAUGCUCCCGGAUCCUUAGACGCCUUAGAGAUCCCCUCAGAGAACCUCUCAGGCUUGAACUCAUGCACAUCACUUCCCCAUGAGUCCGGAUCAUGGUGGAUGAACAACACGGGGAUUUUAAUGCUAACACCAGCUGGGUAAGUGACUCCUCCUAUCUCCAUCUCUUUGUAUGUUUUCCAACCAAUCUCGAUGAACGGUGGGUGCAACCGAAGAACCUCGUAGAAGAUCAUUAUACUGACAAUUUUGAGGCGGCUCAAGCCUUCGUAGUCAGGUUUGUUCUUCCUAAAUAAUCCCAUAAUCUCUUCCCUUGCAUGGUCCUGCCACUCCGGGUGUAUGCUUAAUAGCAGCAUGGUCCAUGUGAGAAGCACUGAUGUUGUCUCCGCUCCUGCAAAGUAGAACAGCUUGCACUCCUCCACGAUAUCCUUGAUUGUCAACCCCUGGCUUGAUUGACCAUUCUCUUCCAUGUGCUUUGUGUUUGACUCAAGCAAUAUGCCAAGUAAAUCAUCUUUUGUGCUUUCACCUUCUUUCAUAGCUUGCAUUCUUUUCCCAAUUAAACCUCUUAGAAUCGAUUCGAUCUCUUUAUUUAUUUGAUGCAUCUUCCGGUUGUUCUCAAUAGGCAAAGACC
rnacentral:sRNA from 1 species